AAAUAAUAAUAAGCCCUUAUAAAACAUGGCAUUAUGCACUUAGAGAUUGUUAAUCAAGAUAUCUAAAUGGGUACCUAUUCAUCAUAUUUGGUGUCAUUUAUCUUCAUCAAUGUGUUACUAAUUUCACAUUUUAGUUCCUUAUGCAUUGCUUCUGAAGCUGUUUCAGAAUUAUCUUCAUCAAAGGGUCCCUUGUAUGGUUUCUCUUACAAAAUGAAGAUGGUGAUAGUUCCUAACAGAUUUGACAUGAUUCCACCUCCACCCGCUCCUAUUUCCAACACUCCCCAAUUUGGCCAGCCUAAUCCAUCACUUCCAUAGCCAUGAUCUAUAUUCUAUUACAUCUCCUGGUAUUUUAAAUAAAAUAAUGUUUAUUUUUUUGGAAUCUACUUUGGGUUUAUAGUUAGAUUAUUUAAAUUUUAUAAGUUUUUCUCUCUCACUUUA
rnacentral:lncRNA from 1 species